GUUCCAGCAGCACAUUAUGUCUGUGGGUAGCAGAACAGCUCCAGCACACCCAUCCCUUUCCAUGGCCCCCAGCAUGGCUGUGGUAGGAUGAGCCCUGCCCUGUUCCUGCUGCUGUCCCUGGCCAGCUGCUCCCUGCUCCAGGGGACGCUGCUGAGGCCACAGCACGUCAGGCUGGAGGCACAGAACUUCCACGUCUUGCUGCGCUGGGAGCCAGACCCCAGCUCACCCAGCUCUGCCACCUAUGAGGUGGAGUGGAGGAACAGAACCUCAAACUGGACCAAGGCAGGUGCCUAUGGGGGGAACUGCAGAAACUCCUGUGUGUGUGAGCUGUAUUUUGACAGGAUUCAUGAUAUCUACUGGGCACGGGUGAGAGUGGUGGCCGGAGGUGAGCGGUCCGAGUGGGCCAUUUCCAGCGAGCUGCAGCUGUACAGAGACACAAUUGUUGGCCCCCCCAAGCUGUCUUGGCUGCUCCAGGACCAAAUCCUCAGCGUAAACAUCAUCACACCACCCACUCCCUACCAGAGAAGGACUGGUUCCUACAAGCCAGUCAACCGAGUGCUGCUGAAGCUGUGGUACUGGCUGCACCUGUACGAGGGGGACCUGCUUGUCCAGCAGGUGCCCUGCAAACGGAGCAGUGAGAAAGUGCCUUGCACCUUUGGGCACCUGAAGCCCAGCACACAGUACUGUGUCCGGACGGUGGCUGCAGACAUUGCCAGGGAGCGGAGCCAGGAGGCUGAGCAGUGCCUGGUGACUCCAGCAGCCCCCUCAGGCUUUCCAUGGGUCUCUGCUGUGCUGAGUGCCUUCUUCCUGCUGCUGCCUCUGAGUGUGGCCGGGAUGUGCUUCGUGCAGCUGCAUGUCUUUCCCAGUCCUCAGGAGAUGUGCCUCCCAAAAGCACUGGCUCUCCAGAACAGCGAGCUGAAUGUGGCCAUGCAGGUGCCUCCACUGCAGCUUGAGGAGGACCCACUGGCCCUGCUCCUGCAGACUGUGCUCCCCUCCCACGGGCCAUCCACAGCUGUGCAGGCAUCAGCCACGGUCCCACGGCUCCUGCGAGGCCUUGUCCAGGAUGUGAGUGGCUACUGUGCCAACGGGUUUGGCCCAGACUGCAUUGAGGGAAGGGACCCGUCCUGCACCCACAGUCAGCUGGGGCAUGCCUUAGGUUCUCAGGUCCCCUCACAGCUGGAGAAGGAUGAGGAGGCAGGUGAUGGGGAUGAUGUGCCAGAGCAGCUGGUGCUAAUGGGACUGGCUGGACACAGCUACAUAGGUGACAAGGACAGCCAGAUACCUAAAAUGUGGCUCCCCCUGCACCUCCAGCUUUAUUCUAAAUGCCAGUGCCCAGUUCUGGGAGCAGACAGCCACCUUCCUCUGCCCGUGCCGAGCAGAAGCUGCAGCCAGGACUGCCUGCAGGAGAGUCCGGGGACGGCUCGGCACUGGAUCCGGCUCAGCUCCGUGAGGCUCCUGCCCAGCACGGAGACGGAAGGCGGGCAGCGCCCCUGUGCUCCCCAGGCUCUGCGGGGCGGCGGGAGUGACCCAGAGCUAGGGGACAGCGCCGUGCAGCGAGGCUCCCCGGGGCAGGCCGAGCCGUGUCCGUGCCCGCUGCCCCCCUCGCCCCGCGGCCUGCGGGCAGCUCCCUUCCCCGGCUACGAGCCCCGGGCCCCGGCGGGCAGCGAGCCUUAGCGGCCCAGCCGAGCCCAGGCCGCCUCCCGCAGCUCCCCGGCCGGAACGGCUGUCUGUCUGUGUCUGUCUGUCUGUCCGUCUGUCUGUGUCUAUCCGUCUCUCCGUCUGUCUGUCUGUCUGUCCCAGCCUGCUGGGGCGUGCUGCGGGUGGGACCGGGCAGGCUCCAAGGGCAGGCACAGGCCCGUUCCGGGCACGGCCGCCAAAGACGGGCGAGAUCCAGAGCUUUCCUCUGGGGAUUCGGUGCUCUUGAGACACCUCAUAAGGAGCAUGGAGCAACGCUGAAGCCCCAAACCUCUUAUCUAGAGAUCUGUCUGUAUGUGUGCAUGUAUGGUACAGUAUCUAUACUAAUGUAACACUCAUAUAUACAUAUAUAUUUGUAAAGCUCUUUAAUGAAAAAAAUGUUGGGGGUUUUACUUCUGUGGAAAUGUUGAUUCUGUGCUGGAGUUGUUUUUAAAUAUCACUAAUUUAUUCUAGAAAAC
ensembl:lncRNA